AAAACGACUCUCGGCAACGGAUAUCUCGGCUCUCGCAUCGAUGAAGAACGUAGCGAAAUGCGAUACUUGGUGUGAAUUGCAAAAUCCCGUGAACCAUCGAGUCUUUGAACGCAAGUUGCGCCCCAAGCCGUUAGGCCGAGGGCACGCCUGCCUGGGUGUCACGC
rnacentral:rRNA from 1 species